rnacentral:sRNA from 1 species
UUCUCUUCCCAGUCACGUAGAGCACCUGA